rnacentral:rRNA from 1 species
GGUUAAGCUAGUAAGAGCGCACGGAGGAUGCCUAGGCACUAGGAGCCGAUGAAGGACGUGGCGAACAACGAAACUGCCUCGGGGAGCCGUAAGCA